UACAGAGGGUGCAAGCGUUAAUCGGAAUUAUUGGGCGUAAAGGGCUUGUAGGCGGUAGGAUAAGUUAGAUGUGAAAACCCUGGGCUCAACCUGGGGCUGGCAUUUAAUACUGUUCUGCUAGAGUAUAGGAGAGGAGAAGGGAAUUUCUGGUGUAGCGGUGAAAUGCGUAGAUAUCAGAAGGAACAUCAGUGGCGAAGGCGCUUCUCUGGCCUAAUACUGACGCUGAGGAGCGAAGGCGUGGGGAUCAAACAGG
rnacentral:rRNA from 1 species